UGACCCCAGGUCAUGC
rnacentral:rRNA from 1 species